rnacentral:rRNA from 1 species
CGAAAGGUGCUUGCACCUUUCAAGUGAGUGGCGAACGGGUGAGUAACACGUGGACAACCUGCCUCAAGGCUGGGGAUAACAUUUGGAAACAGAUGCUAAUACCGAAUAAAACUUAGUGUCGCAUGACAAAAAGUUAAAAGGCGCUUCGGCGUCACCUAGAGAUGGAUCCGCGGUGCAUUAGUUAGUUGGUGGGGUAAAGGCCUACCAAGACAAUGAUGCAUAGCCAAGUUGAGAGACUGAUCGGCCACAUUGGGACUGAGACACGGCCCAAACUCCUACGGGAGGCUGCAGUAGGGAAUCUUCCACAAUGGGCGAAAGCCUGAUGGAGCAACGCCGCGUGUGUGAUGAAGGCUUUCGGGUCGUAAAGCACUGUUGUAUGGGAAGAACAGCUAGAAUAGGAAAUGAUUUUAGUUUGACGGUACCAUACCAGAAAGGGACGGCUAAAUACGUGCCAGCAGCCGCGGUAAUACGUAUGUCCCGAGCGUUAUCCGGAUUUAUUGGGCGUAAAGCGAGCGCAGACGGUUUAUUAAGUCUGAUGUGAAAGCCCGGAGCUCAACUCCGGAAUGGCAUUGGAAACUGGUUAACUUGAGUGCAGUAGAGGUAAGUGGAACUCCAUGUGUAGCGGUGGAAUGCGUAGAUAUAUGGAAGAACACCAGUGGCGAAGGCGGCUUACUGGACUGCAACUGACGUUGAGGCUCGAAAGUGUGGGUAGCAAACAGGAUUAGAUACCCUGGUAGUCCACACCGUAAACGAUGAACACUAGGUGUUAGGAGGUUUCCGCCUCUUAGUGCCGAAGCUAACGCAUUAAGUGUUCCGCCUGGGGAGUACGACCGCAAGGUUGAAACUCAAAGGAAUUGACGGGGACCCGCACAAGCGGUGGAGCAUGUGGUUUAAUUCGAAGCAACGCGGAGAACCUUACCAGGUCUUGACAUCCCUUUGAAGCUUUUAGA